GAUGAACGCUGGCGGCGUGCUUAACACAUGCAAGUCGAACGGAAAGGCCUGCUUUCCCUUGUGGAUUGCGGGUACUCGAGUGGCGAACGGGCGAGUAACACGUGAGUGAUUUGCCCCCAACUUGGGUAUAAGCAUGGGAAACUGGGUCUAAUUCCCGAUAGGACUGCAGGGUGGUGUCUGUGGUGGAAAACGAUUUUCUAGUGGUUGGGGAUGAGCCCGCGGCCUAUCAGCUUGUUGGUGGGGUAAUGGCCUACCAAGGCGGCGACGGGUAGCCGGCCUGAGAGGGGGGACGGCCACAUUGGGACUGAGAUACGGCCCAGACUGCUACGGAAGGCAGCAGUGGGGAAUAGUGCGCAAUGGGCGGAAGCCUGAUGAAGCGACGCCGCGUGGGGGAUGACGGCCUUCGGGUUGUAAACUCCUUUCGACCGCGAGGAAGCCACCUGGUUGGAAGGGUGGUGACGGUAGUGGUAGAAGAAGCACCGGCUAACUACGUG
rnacentral:rRNA from 1 species